UUUGGACUUAAAAUUUUUGGCUUGAGUAGUAUUAGUUAUGGUCUUGAAACUUAAAGAAUUUGGCGGUAUUUUAGUCUAGUUAGAGGAAUCUGCUCCGUUAUCGAUAAUCCGCGUUGGACCUUACUUAAUAUAAUUGAAUAUGUAUACCGUCGUUUAUUGAAAAUCUUUUUAGGGGAAAAUUUUCUUAAAUUUUUAUUGAAUUUUAUUUCAGAUCAAGGUGCAGUUGAUGAUUAAGUGGAGGUGGAUUACAUUAUUUAUUAAAUAUACGGAUUAUAAUUUGAAAUGUUUUUUGAAGGUGGAUUUGAUAGUAAUUAUUAAUAAGAGCUGUUUUAUUGAUUUAKRCUCUAAAAUGUGU
rnacentral:rRNA from 1 species